rnacentral:rRNA from 1 species
CUACGGGUGGCUGCAGUGGGGAAUAUUGGGCAAUGGGCGAAAGCCUGACCCAGCAACGCCGCGUGAAGGAAGAAGGUUUUCGGAUCGUAAACUUCUAUCCCAGGUGAAGAUAAUGACGGUAGCCUGGAAGGAAGCCCCGGCUAACUACGUGCCAGCAGCCGCGGUAAUACGUAGGGGGCAAGCGUUGUCCGGAAUGAUUGGGCGUAAAGGGCGCGUAGGCGGCCUUCUAAGUCCGAUGUGAAAGUCCUGCUUUUAAGGUGGGAAUUGCAUUGGAAACUGGAGGGCUUGAGUGCAGGAGAGGUAAGUGGAAUUCCCGGUGUAGCGGUGAAAUGCGUAGAGAUCGGGAGGAACACCAGUGGCGAAGGCGACUUAUUGGACUGUAACUGACGCUGAGGCGCGAAAGUGUGGGGAGCAAACAGGAUUAGAUACCCGAGUAGUC